UCCGGAAUUAUUGGGCGUAAAGAGCUUGUAGGCGGUUUGUCGCGUCUGCUGUGAAAACUGGAGGCUCAACCUCCAGCCUGCAGUGGGUACGGGCAGACUAGAGUGCGGUAGGGGAGAUUGGAAUUCCUGGUGUAGCGGUGGAAUGCGCAGAUAUCAGGAGGAACACCGAUGGCGAAGGCAGAUCUCUGGGCCGUAACUGACGCUGAGGAGCGAAAGGGUGGGGAGCAAACAGGCUUAGAUACCCUGGUAGUCCACCCCGUAAACGUUGGGAACUAGAUGUGGGGACCAUUCCACGGUCUCCGUGUCGCAGCUAACGCAUUAAGUUCCCCGCCUGGGGAGUACGGCCGCAAGGCUAAAACUCAAAGGAAUUGACGGGGGCCCGCACAAGCGGCGGAGCAUGCGGAUUAAUUCGAUGCAACGCGAAGAACCUUACCAAGGCUUGACAUAUACCGGAAACGGCGAGAGAUCGUCGCCCCGCAAGGUCGGUAUACAGGUGGUGCAUGGUUGUCGUCAGCUCGUGUCGUGAGAUGUUGGGUUAAGUCCCGCAACGAGCGCAACCCUCGUUCUAUGUUGCCAGCACGUAAUGGUGGGAACUCAUGGGAUACUGCCGGGGUCAACUCGGAGGAAGGUGGGGACGACGUCAAAUCAUCAUGCCCCUUAUGUCUUGGGCUUCACGCAUGCUACAAUGGCCAGUACAAAGGGCUGCGAUACCGUAAGGUGGAGCGAAUCCCAAAAAGCUGGUCCCAGUUCGGAUUGAGGUCUGCAACUCGACCUCAUGAAGUCGGAGUCGCUAGUAAUCGCAGAUCAGCAACGCUGCGGUGAAUACGUUCCCGGGCCUUGUACACACCGCCCGUCAAGUCAUGAAAGUCGGUAACACCCGACGCCGGUGGCCUAACCCUUUAUUGGGAGGGAGCC
rnacentral:rRNA from 1 species